GAUCAUUAUCGAAUUAUAAGCGAGGGUUGUCGCUGGCCUCGAAAGAGGCAUGUGCACGCCCGAGCUCUUAAAUCCACAACACACCUGUGAACCCACCGUAGGCCUUCGGGCUUAUGUAUCAUAUACUCUGAAUGUGUCAUAGAAUGUUCAUGUUGCCUUAAAACGCAAUCAAAUACAACUUUCAACAACGGAUCUCUUGGCUCUCGCAUCGAUGAAGAACGCAGCGAAAUGCGAUAAGUAAUGUGAAUUGCAGAUUUUCAGUGAAUCAUCGAAUCUUUGAACGCACCUUGCGCUCCUUGGUAUUCCGAGGAGCAUGCCUGUUUGAGUGUCAUUAAAUUCUCAACCCCACCGAUUUGCUUCGGGGGGAUUGGACUUGGAGCGUGCUGGCGAAGGUCGGCUCCUCUUUAAAUGCAUCAGUGGAGAGAAACUUGCCCCAGUGUGAUAAUCCUGUUGCGCUGUGGUGGGUGAAAGUCUGCUUCCAACCGUCCCUCCGGGGACAUACGUCAUCUUAUUUUGACCUCAAAUCACGUAGGACUACCCGCUGAACUUAAGCAUAU
rnacentral:rRNA from 1 species